GGAAUGCGCGCAAUUUUACUGUAACGAAGCCGAAGUGGGAAAGGCCAUAGUGGAAAGCGGUAUUCCACGAGAGGAUCUAUUUUUGGUAUCCAAAGUCUGGACGACAACAAUUGAGCAAGGCCCGGAGGCAGUCCGCAAACAAUUGAUGACCACA
rnacentral:ribozyme from 1 species